AGGACGAACGCUGGCGGCGUGCUUAACACAUGCAAGUCGAGCGGUAAGGCCUUUCGGGGUACACGAGCGGCGAACGGGUGAGUAACACGUGGGUGAUCUGCCCUGCACUCUGGGAUAAGCCUGGGAAACUGGGUCUAAUACCGGAUAUGACCUGCUCUCGCAGUGGGGGGUGGGUGGAAAGAUUUUAUCGGUGCAGGAUGGGCCCGCGGCCUAUCAGCUUGUUGGUGGGUAAUGGCCUACCAAGGCGACGACGGGUAGCCGACCUGAGAGGGUGACCGGCCACACUGGGACUGAGACACGGCCCAGACUCCUACGGGAGCAGCAGUGGGGAAUAGUGCACAAUGGGCGAAAGCCUGAAUGCAGCGACGCCGCGUGAGGAUGAAGGCCUUGGGUUACGUAAACCGUCUUUACACGACAACGAGACG
rnacentral:rRNA from 1 species